AUUGAACGCUGGCGGCAGGCCUAACACAUGCAAGUCGAACGGUAACAGGAAGAAGCUUGCUUCUUUGCUGACGAGUGGCGGACGGGUGAGUAAUGUCUGGGAAACUGCCUGAUGGAGGGGGAUAACUACUGGAAACGGUAGCUAAUACCGCAUAAUGUCGCAAGACCAAAGAGGGGGACCUUCGGGCCUCUUGCCAUCGGCUGUGCCCAGAUGGGAUUAGCUAGUAGGUGGGGUAACGGCUCACCUAGGCGACGAUCCCUAGCUGGUCUGAGAGGAUGACCAGCCACACUGGAACUGAGACACGGUCCAGACUCCUACGGGAGGCAGCAGUGGGGAAUAUUGCACAAUGGGCGCAAGCCUGAUGCAGCUAUGCCGCGUGUAUGAAGAAGGCCUUCGGGUUGUAAAGUACUUUCAGCGGGGAGGAAGGGAGUAAAGUUAAUACCUUUGCUCAUUGACGUUACCCGCAGAAGAAGCACCGGCUAACUCCGUG
rnacentral:rRNA from 1 species